AUCUCUGUAGAGUCUGCAUAUCAAUAAGCGGAGGAAAAGAAACUAACAAGGAUUCCCUAGUAACGGCGAGUGAAGCGGGAAGAGCUCAAAUUUGAAAUCUUAAAGGUUUUCCCUUGACGAAUUGUAGUUUAAAGAAGUGUUUUCUGUUGGAGUUUCGGUAAAAGUUCUUUGGAAUAGGACAUCAUAGAGGGUGAGAAUCCCGUAUUUGACCGUUACUUUCCAGCUGUGUGAUACACUUUCAAAGAGUCGGAUUGUUUGGGAAUGCAGUCCAAGAUGGGUGGUAAAUUUCAUCUAAAGCUAAAUAUUGGCGAGAGACCGAUAGCGAACAAGUACCGUGAGGGAAAGAUGAAAAGAACUUUGAAAAGAGAGUUAAACAGUACGUGAAAUUGUCAAAAGGGAAGCGUUUGACACCAGUGUUGUUUAGUUGAAAAUCAAUUCAAUAGUUUUUGAUUCUAAGUAGUAUUGACUUCAUCAGCUUGCUGCUUUCUUCUCAGAAAUUAUUGAAUGCACUUUUCAGUUAACAAGUCAACAUCAAUUUCUUUUGUUGUAAAAGGGUAAGAGGAAGGUGGCUUGCGCUUCGGCUCAAGUGUUUAUAGCCUUUUAUCUCUGCAAUCGGAGAGAUUGAGGUCUGCAGCGUAGAUCCUUCGGGGUUAGAUACAUUGGUGCUAAGCUAUAGCCUUGUAUAGACAACUUGUUGACUAUGCUCAGUCAUGUAGCUUACUCGCUGAUGCUAUUUUACCUACGCUUAGGAUGUUGAACGCGCACAGAGUCUC
rnacentral:rRNA from 1 species